UACAGAGGUCCCGAGCGUUGUUCGGAUUUAUUGGGCGUAAAGGGUGCGUAGGCGGCGCGGUAAGUCGGGUGUGAAAUCUCGGAGCUUAACUCCGAAACUGCAUUCGAUACUGCCAUGCUUGAGGACUGGAGAGGAGACUGGAAUUUACGGUGUAGCGGUGAAAUGCGUAGAUAUCGUAAGGAAGACCAGUGGCGAAGGCGGGUCUCUGGACAGUUCCUGACGCUGAGGCACGAAGGCCAGGGGAGCAAACGGG
rnacentral:rRNA from 1 species